rnacentral:lncRNA from 1 species
AAUAUAAAGGAUGGAUUCCUUCUGGACUGGAUAGUACCGCCACUGUCGAAGUGCGUUAUCCAUAGCAUAGAACUAAAUAUCAUAGAUAAAGUAGUUCAACUUGGACCUCGAUAAUUUUUUGCUGUGGAAAAAAAUGGGCCAUCCUUCUUGGCUGAAAACUCCACCGAUCCUAGUAGAAGAAGUAUCACACUUCCCCUCAA